GUAGAGAUGUGGAGGAACACCAGUGGCGAAGGCGACUGUCUGAUGUGUAACUUACGGUGAGGAGCGAAAGCGUGGGGAGCGAACAGGAUUAGAUACCCUGGUAGUCCACGCCGUAAACGAUGAGUGCUAAGUGUUAGGGGGUUUCCGCCCCUUAGUGCUGCAGCUAAGGCAUUAAGCACUCCGCCUGGGGAGUACGGUCGGCAAGACUGAAACUCAAAGGAAUUGACGGGGGCCCGCACAAGCGGUGGAGCAUGUGGUUUAAUUCGAAGCAACGGGAAGAACCUUACCAGGUCUUGACAUCCUCUGACAACCCUAGAGAUAGGGCUUUCCCUUCGGGGACAGAGUGACAGGUGGUGCAUGGUUGUCGUCAGCUCGUGUCGUGAGAUGUUGGGUUAAGUCCCGCAACGAGCGCAACCCUUGAUCUUAGUUGCCAGCAUUUAGUUGGGCACUCUAAGGUGACUGCCGGUGACAAACCGGAGGAAGGUGGGGAUGACGUCAAAUCAUCAUGCCCCUUAUGACCUGGGCUACACACGUGCUACAAUGGACAGAACAAAGGGCUGCGAGACCGCAAGGUUUAGCCAAUCCCAUAAAUCUGUUCUCAGUUCGGAUCGCAGUCUGCAACUCGACUGCGUGAAGCGGGAAUCGCUAGUAAU
rnacentral:rRNA from 1 species